CUGAAAUGUGCGACGACGAAUAUCGAAACGACGUAAAUCCAAAAAGCGAUUUACAGGGUAGGGUGGUGGAGGCGACGGGCUGACGAGGAGGCGACGGAUAACGAGAGAGCACGGGCGAUGCUGUCAGCGACGUGAUCGAUCGUCGACAACGUCGCGUGGAGGAGGAUUAGCGUCACGGCACACAAAGCGGCCACCAUUUAAUAAUAUUGAACAAGUCUACAAACAGCUAUUACAUGCAGGCGACGUCUGAGAUCAAUAUAACAAACACGGAGAUGUUCAGUAUGGGUCCGGGUCAACUCGCACGUGGCCCGGGCUUGACUCACGCACUUCACUGUUCGCACGCGCCCGGCCAAGACGCGCAAAUUUCCCGGUUCCACCAACCCUGGUUCCGUCAGCCCAG